UAAUAGCUCUAAACUCAACAUUACUGUAAAAGAAGAUCUGAGAUCCCAAGGACAGAGAAAUGACAUUCUAACUAAAAUUAAAGAGCACGGGUACCACAUGAAAGCAGAAGUUUGCAUCCUUCACCACUGUCUUCCCAGUGACCACAGGGACAUUGCCUGCAAUAUAAUUUUUAGCUCACUGAGGGCAAGGGCCAUGCCUUAUCAUCAACAUUGAGAAAUGAUUUUGAAAUGACCCCAAAACAAGAAAUCAGUUAAUUGAUUAAUGUGCUUGCGUAUGAUGAAGUUUCCACUGGUUGUUAACGAAAAAAUACGGUAAGCGCAUUUUUUUUUUUUUUGGUUUGGAAGGAAGACAUG